ACGAUGAAGAACGCAGCGAAGUGCGAUAAGCAAUGCGAAUUGCAGAGCCGAGAGUCAUCAGAUUUUUGAACGUAACUGACACCGGAGGGUUCUCCCUUCGGUAUGCUUCUUUCAGUGUGUGAUUCUCUCAUCACCCAAACCUUAAUGCGAUAGAUGCCCUUCUAUUGCUAAGCUCGAAAGCACUCUGAACUCUGCAGCGAAAGUCUUCGGACCGACGCACUCAAUGCAGUAGUCACAUUCUCAAAUGUGAACUCAUUGAGCGUGGAGUCAGCGCAUGCUUGCAUGCCAGUGCUUAGACACUUAAAUUUUCUCAGCAUCUGAAAUGAAGUAGGACCACCCGCUGAACUUAAGCAUAUCAUUAAGCGGAGGAAAAGAAACUAACAAGGAUUCCCUCAGUACGGGCGACGGAAGCGGGAAAAGCCCACAUUGGUAAUCUCCGGGCGCUAGCUCGGCGAAUUGUAAUCUGAAGAUCGUUAGUCUAAUUGGGCCCGACGCCGAAGUGCGCGCGAGCGCGCCGCCAAAGAGGGUGAGAGCCCCGUCAGGCGCUGGGUGUUACAAAGGCUGGCAAUCGAAGAGUCGUGUACUUUGAUACUAGUGCACCAAGCGGGAGAUAAACUUCUUCUAAGGCUAAAUAUAAGUAGGAAACCGAUAGCGAACAAGUACUGUGAAGGAAAGAUGAAAAGCACUUUGGAAAGAAAGUUAAAAGACUUGAAAUCGUUGAGGCGGACCCGGUAGAAAUGUAUUCUAGCGACGCGCCCUGGGAAGCGGCGGUGUGCUUUGUAGCUUGCUAUAGAGCGCGCUGGCCGGGUGUGGCGCGGCUUGAGGGGCCUUGUGCGAUCUUGUCAAAAUGGUUUUUACCGACUCGUCUUGAAACACGAACCAAGGAGUCUAAGACUAACGCGAGUGUGGUGGUGGAGAAACCAACACGCGAAAUGAAAGUAAAUGAUGCCAAGCUCCCUGCAGCAUCGGCCGACUUUUUUCUUCUGGAAGAGGUUUGAGUAAGAGCGUUAUUCUUGGGACCCGAAAGAUGGUGAACUAUGCCUGUGUAGGGUGAAGUCAGGGGAAACUCUGAUGGAAGCUCGUAGCGAUACUGACGUGCAAAUCGUUCGUCGAACAUGGGUAUAGGGGCGAAAGACUAAUCGAACCAUCUAGUAGCUGGUUCCCUCCGAAGUUUCCCUCAGGAUAGCUGGGACAACUGCGCAGUUUUAUUAGGUAAAGCGAAUGAUUAGAGGCAUCGGGGAUAAAAUGUCCUUGACCUAUUCUCAAACUUUAAAUUGGUAAGAACUCCUUUCUUUUGCUUAAUUGAAGAAGGAGGUUCAAUGCGUGUCCUUAGUGGGCCAUUUUUGGUAAGCAGAACUGGCGAUGAGGGAUGCUCCUAACGUCGGGUUAAGGUGCCAAACUGCACGCUCAUCAGAAACUACAAAGGGUGUUAGUUCGUUCAGACAGCAGGACGGUGGCCAUAGAAGUCGGAACCCGCUAAGGAGUGUGUUACAACUCACCUGCCUAAUGAACUAGUCCCGAAAAUGGAUGGCGCUAAAGCGUGUGACCGAUACCCGACCAUUGGUGCGAGAGUUAGGCAUCAAUGAGUAGGAGGGCGUGGGCGUCGUGGCGAAGCCUCUAGCGUGAGCUUGGGUUGAACGGCGUCUAGUGCAGAUCUUGGUGGUAGUA
rnacentral:rRNA from 1 species